ensembl:processed_transcript uncharacterized LOC110297540
GCGCUGAGCAGGAAUGGCAAUGUGGACCUCUGAUGGAACAUCUGGUGGGAUCUCACAGUCAGUUCUGUGGCAAAGGAGGAUGAAGACUUAAAGAGGUGAGUACUGAAUAGUAAUGAGAAGUUAGGUUGAAAGGACAGUGCCACAAUGAUGACAUCAUAUUUGCUACUCUUGACUGUUGGGAUGACGAUAGCUUUAAACCACCAUGAUUAUAACUGAGGCACACAGAAUAAUGAUUUGGGGGCUACUUACAGAGUAAGCAGUAUUUACAUAAAGACUUUCCCCCCCAGGACUCAACAGGAAGCUGGAUAACAGAAAGAGAGCAAUGUAAGCAGUUUUUUGUGUGCAUGUGGUCCCAUUACAAGGAAUACUCAAUGGCAAGUGAGCACUAAAGAUCCCUCAACCCACACGUUGAAUGUAGAGUUCCCUGAAAGCAAUUGUAGAGGAGUGGGUGGGAGAUCUGAAGUCAGGGCAUUGCUUCUUCUAGGUAUCUGAGGAGGAUGGUUUUUGAUAUCUGUGGGAGCUAGUGGUCCAACACAGGGUUUAUAAUUGUCAUUUAGGUCACAUUUGGUGGACUCUGGUUCCCCCAUCUUAAGUGCUGAGUCAGCGGCCUAACAGGGCAGCUUUAACUGUUUGUUUGUUGUAGGUGCUAGAAUAGAAGACCAGAAAAUGAAAGAUAUGAAAAAAAGGUAAGUGAAACUAAAGGAAUUGUAGAUGCUAAACAGGCUUGGCUUUGUUGUGCUCUGCCAAGUACUCUGGCCACGUGUUCCGUCCUGGUCAUAGCUGAACACAGCCUGCAUGAUGACAAACAAAUACUGACUACCUGAAGAUUUUAUUAGCUCUAUCUGAUGGUGGGCUUCUUUGGCAUUUAUUGUGGGGCAAACUCAAAUCUGUUGACUGCAUUCAAAAGCUCUUUAAUUUUUUUUAGGUGGAGUUUAAGGCUGGAUAUACAGCUUGAAAAGUAAGUAUUGAAAAACACUUGAAUCUAGGUCAGUGCAAAGGGACAUGCAGAGACUUUAAAUCAUCAAAACUCCAUGCAUUGUCUUAUGGAUGUUUAGAUAGGUGUAUUUUGGACAACACAGGGUUCUUGUAAUGAUGUUGAUCAAAUGUCUGAGCUGAAAAUAACUUGUAGACAAUUUUUAACCCUGAAGAACCCUGUGGCAGGCAACUAGGAAUAGUUGAGUGAUGUUAGCAUAUUUGUAAGGUAUUUAUUUUCUCUUAAUUCUAGUUACUGUGAUUGCAUGCUUGUUCAUUGGCUGGCUUGCUUGGGUAAGAAGCCAUUGGGGGCCUUGAAUUCCCUCCAGUCAUUUGCAGAAUUUCCUGUGUAACAUUUAGCUUUUGAACAUGUAUGUGCUACCAUCAGUACUAAAUGGUGCCUUAAAUUUUUUCAGGUACAAAUGAUGGUUUGAAUAAAGAAAGGUAUGAACGCAUGGGUCACUUCAAGUGAAGGCACUGCAAACACAAUGAUCAGUCAUUCUGGAUUUCUGGUCCUUCUGAAUUUUAAAGGCUGCGGUGACAAGUGGACAUGCAGUGACUACCUUUUGUACCUUCCUGUUUCUGAGGUGCCUGGAUGGAGGUUCAAAUAGAAGAUAGUGUCAGAUAUACAUUGUGUUGUCAAAAUUUUACCAUUAAAGUGCAUUACAACAUGAA